rnacentral:rRNA from 1 species
CCCUUAGAUGUUCUGGGCCGCACGCGCGCUACACUGAUGCAUUCAACGAGUCUAAAACCUGCUCUGAUAGGGGUGGGUAAUCUUUUGAAUGUGCAUCGUGAUUGGGAUAGAUGAUUGCAAUUUUUCAUCUUCAACGAGGAAUGCCUAGUAAACGCAAGUCAUCAGCUUGCAUUGAUUACGUUCCUGCCAUUUGUACACACCGCCCGUCGCUCCUACCGAUUGAAUGAUCCGAUGAAUAUCAUGGAUUGAGGAUGCAAGUAGGUUAGCCUAUCUUCAUCUUCGAGAAGUGAAGUAAAUCUUAUCAUUUAGAGGAAGGAGAAGUCGUAACA